rnacentral:rRNA from 1 species
AACGAACGCUGGCGGCGUGCUUAAUACAUGCAAGUCGUGCGAGAACGGGGGCUUCGGCCUCCUAGUAAAGCGGCGAACGGGUGCGUAACACGUGGGCAACCUGCCUAUCAGUCUGGGAUAAGCUCUCGAAAGGGGGUCUAAUACCGGAUGACAUCCAGAGGAGACAUCUCCUUUGGCUCAAAGACGGUGCAAGCCGUUGCUGAUAGAUGGGCCCGCGCCCCAUUAGCUAGUUGGUAGGGUAACGGCCUACCAAGGCUCCGAUGGGUAGCCGACCUGAGAGGGUGACCGGCCACACUGGGACUGAGAUACGGCCCAGACUCCUACGGGAGGCAGCAGUAGGGAAUAUUGCGCAAUGGAGGCAACUCUGACGCAGCAACGCCGCGUGGAUGAUGAAGCUCUUUGGAGUGUAAAGUCCUGUCGCCAGGGAAGAAACGGUGGACGAGGAAAUGCGUCUGCCCUGACGGUACCUGGAGAGGAAGUUCCGGCUAACUCCGUGCC